ensembl:lincRNA
GGAGUGAGGGAGCUGGGAGACUGUACUGCACAGGCUCUGACAGGCCUGAUAAUACAGCUGCAGAGCUCAGGAUCUCCACAGCCUCCGGGCCCGAAGGAGCAGCAGGCGGUCCGCAGUCUGCUGGACACUCUGCAGGCGCUGGCUCCCUCGCAGAGCAGCCACAGGGAGACGCUCUGUGUCGGGGGGGUGUCCGUCUGCCUGUCCCACUUCCAGGUGAAGACCCGCGCGCGCUGAGGGGGGAGCAGAGCUGGCCGGUGAGAUCUGAAAUCGACUCUGGCUGGUCCACCAUCGGUCUGCUGAUUUCCACAGUGUGCUGCUGGCUUCUCGGCAGUACAGUAGCGCCUGGGGCGAAGAUUCCUAAGUAUCAAUUAUACAUGAUACUCUAA